UACGUAGGGGGCUAGCGUUGUCCGGAUUUAUUGGGCGUAAAGAGCGUGUAGGCGGCCAGGUAGGUCUGGUGUGAAAACUCGAGGCUUAACCUCGAGAUGUCAUCGGAAACCAUCUGGCUAGAGUCCGGAAGAGGAGAGUGGAAUUCCUGGUGUAGCGGUGAAAUGCGCAGAUAUCAGGAGGAACGCCGGUGGCGAAGGCGGGUCUCUGGGCCGAUACUGACGCUGAGGAGCGAAAGCGUGGGGAGCGAACAGG
rnacentral:rRNA from 1 species